ensembl:lncRNA
CAGGCUAGGUGUCUAAUCUGAGCUGUAGCCACCAGCCUAUGCCACAGCCACAGCAACAUCAGAUCCGAGCCACGUCUGCGACCUAUAGCACAGCUCAUGACAACGCCGGAUCCUUAACCCACUGAGCAAGGCCAGGGAUCAAACCUGCGUCCUCAUGCAUGCUAGUCAGAUUCCUUUCCACUGAGCCACAGCAGGAACUCCUUUUUAUGGCACCUGCAGCACACAGUUCCUCGGCCAGGGGUUGAAUCCCAGCCGCACCUGCGACCUCAGCUGCAGUCACAGCAACACCGGAUCUGAGCUGCCUCUGUGACCUAUGCUGCAGCUUGCAGCAUUGCUGGAUCCUUAACCCACUGAGGGAGGCCAAGAAUCGAAACCGCAUCCUCACAGAGACAGGGCCAGGUCCUUAACCUGUUGAGCCACAAGGGGAACUCCUUAAAUAGGAAUUAAUAUUUAUAUAGCAUCCUCUGUGUCUAAGGUGCUGUGUAACUUUGAAAAGGUUUUUAUCAUUUUUGGACCUCCAUUUCAUCAUCAGCUAAAGUGGGGAGAAUAGGAAAUGGGAUUGCAAAUAGCAAAGCCUCAGAGCACAUGUUAACUCCAUGCUCAUUUUCUUUUCUUUUCGUCUUUUUAGGGCCACACCUGUGGCAUAUGGAGGUUCUCAGGCUAGGGGUUGAAUCGGAGCUAUAGUCACCGGCCUACACCUGAGCCACACAACUUGGAAUCCAAGCCACCCUGUCUGGGACCUACACCACAGCUCACAGGAAUGCCAGAUCCUUAACCCACUGAGGGAGGCCAGGGAUCGAACCUGUGUCCUCAUGGAUGCUUAUCUGGUUUGUUAACUGCUGAGCCACGGCAGGAACUCCUCAUUUUCAUAUGAAAACUGAGAUGCCCAAGCUAAGUUACUGGCCAAAGACUACACAGCCUAAUAGAAUUAGAGCCUGGAUCUCUGGCUGUGGGCCCUUAGUCUUCCAUGGAUGGUGUGCUGCAGGUUACAUGAGGCCUCGUCUACAGCAAGCACUGAAACAUGACUAUUUUCUGGCCUAAAAUUCAUGCCCAUGCCUAAUUGGCAAUUUUCUGCUCUUUUCUGUGCUCCUUGCUGAGGUAGAUACUUGUUUCCAAGGCUGGAGUAACAAAGUCAUCAUAAGAACUGAGUGGCUCAGAACAACGGAAAUGUGCUAUCUCCCAGCUCUGGAGGCCAGGAGUCUGAGAUCAAGGUGUCACAGGGCGCUGCUCCCUCUAACCUGUACUGGGGGAUCUUUCCUUACCUCUUGAAACUUCUGGAACCCCUAGAAGUUCGAUGGCUUGUGGCUGCAUCACUCCAAUCUUCCCAUGGUGUUCUCCCUGUGUCUCUGUGCAUCCUUUUCCCUCUGUGCAUGGCUGUCUAUGUGUCCAAUUUUCCCCUGCCCUCCUUUUUUUUGGCCACACCUGGGGCAAGCAAAAGUUCCCCGCCCAGGGAUUGAACUGUGCCAUAGUAGUGACUACACCGAUUCUUAACCCACUGAGCCACCAGGGAAUUCCCAAGAGUCCCCCCCCCCUUUUAAGAACCAGUUUUUUUAUUUGACCAUUUCUUGCAUUCGAAGUCCUCCUCAAUGACAUCCUUGGCCUGAGAGUCUUCGCCAUAGUCCUUCACCACCACACUACUGCAACCAACCACUUUACAGGGUUUUCCCUGUCUGUCAGUUUUACAGAGGCCUACCCAUUCCCCUAGUUGCUUGUUGUCAUCGCCAUAAUUAGGUUGAUCUGGUGCUCAGCACAAAGGGCAUGAGCUCAUCACAGUUGAUGGAAGCACACAAAGACGGGCUUGGCGUUUGUCUAAGGUUUUGGCAGCUUGGUGAAUUCCACGGGCUAGGCCAUCAUGGAUGAGGCCGGUCUUCAGCACCUCUUGUAGAGCAGUAUUAAUGUCCAUUACACCUCCAGCAGCAAUGCCUUCCUCAGCCAGGUCCGUGGGUUAGGGGCGGAGCCAAAUUUUGAGUGCACCUAAGCCUCUGUCUCCGCAGGACUCGGUGGUGGCAGGGAAAGAGAAGAUUCCCCUUUUUAUGAGGACAUCACUUAUGUUGGGUUAGAGCCCACCCCAAUGACCUCAUUUUAACUUGGUUACCUCUGUAAAGACCCUAUUUCCAAAUAAGGUCACAUUCUGAGGUGCUGGGCUUACGACCUCAGUAUCUUUUUUUGUUUUUGUUUUUUUGCCUUUUCUAGGGCUGCUUCCCUCAGCCUAUGGAGGUUCCCAGGCUAGGGGUCUAAUCAGACCUGUAGCCGCCGGCCUACGCCAGAGACACAGCAACACCAGAUCUGAGCCGCGUCUGCAACCUACACCACAGCCCACAGCAACCCCUGAUCCUUAACCCACCUGAGGGAGGCAGAGAUUGAACCUGAGACCUCAUGGUUCCUAGUCAGAUCCAUUAACCACUGCGCCACAAUGGGAGCUCCUCAGUAUCUUUUUUUUUAUGGGACACAUAUGGGAAAACACUCCUGUGUUUCUCCUUUACUUUCACACUCACAAUACUUCUGACACCACAUGCCUGGGUUUUCCACACCAAGCAAUUCUCUGGGACACCAGCUGCAUGUCCUAUAAUUCAAUUCAAUUCUGACACUAACUAGAGUUAGUACAGACCCCACAGAUUACUGCUUAGUUCCACAAGACUGCCCCCGGCUCCCGCCCCGGGUUUCAGGUGCCAAUGGGAAGUCCAGGUUGUAAUCUAAACUUCUGACUGACAGGUUAUAAAUCGGGGACCCUGUGACCUCCUCCCUGGGUUAGAGAAUUUGCUAGACUGGCUCACAGAACUCAAGCAAACACUUAGGUUAACCAGAUUUUUAGUUAACAAAGGACACAGAUGAACAGGCAGAUGAAGAGAUACCUAGGAUGAGGUCUGCAGUGGGUUUAUGCAGGGAGCAGGAGUUUCUGUUCCUGUGGCAUUGGGGUGCACCACUUUCCAAGCACAUGGACGUGUCCACCAAACUGGUAGUUCUGUGAACCCCAUGCUUUUGGGCUUUUUAUGGAGGCUCCCUCAUGUAGGCAUAAUCUAUCAUAAACUCAGUCUCUAGCCUCUCUCCCCUCCCAGGAGGAUGGGGGCUGGGUCUCCAACCUUUUGAUGAUGGCUUAGUCUUCCUGGUAACCAGCCCCUAUCCAGGAGCCCCACAAGCUUGGCCUCAUUAGAGCAGAAGAUGUUCCUAUCACCCAGGAAGUUCCAGCGGGUUUAAGAGUUCUGUGUCAGGAGCCAUAGUCAAAGACCAAAUAUUCAUAUUCAAACAAAAAAGGGCUCCUAGUGCUUUUAUCACUUAGGAAAUGACAAGAAUUUUAGGAGCUCUGUGCCAGGAAU